UAUUCUGAUUGAGGGAAAAUUAAAAAUGAGUUGGUCUUACAGACAGGUGCAAACAGUAAAUCCUCUUUUGCAACCCAGAACUCAUUGAUGAAUAUGAGAUUUUGGUACAUGUAAGAAGGAAUAUG